UUUAAUCCGUAAAUUUUUCUUUUUGGGAAUAAUCCCUGAAUGUUAUACCAUUUUGAUUUUAGUCCUUAAAAUCAAAAUCCGCAGGAAAAUCUGCAAGUUUUCUACGAAUUUUCCUCCAGAUUUAAAAUCGGUAAGUUUCUUGCGAAUUUGCCUUCGAAUUCUUUUGAGGAUUUUAUGGGACUAUUUCCAAACAAAAAUACGCUAACU
rnacentral:lncRNA from 1 species